AACUGCCCUCACAGCACUCCUGAUAUGUGACUUAUCACCAGAUCCUGCGAUUGCUGACAGCGGUGCACAGAACAGUCUGGAAUGUUGCUAGGUCAGAAAGCUCAAUUCUGUGAAAGUGGGACAUGAAAGAUGGGAGAUGGGGAGGCGAAAAAGACAACAAGGGACAGGCAGAUGGAAAGGAUACUGCAGAGAAGACCAAGAAAGAGAAAUAGGAAGAAAAUGCAGAGUGGGUUGUCAUGGAAUCUUCAAGAAGGAAGCUCAUUGCCUGACCCACUUGUUUCAUAAUGCAAUGAAAUGCUAAAGAAUUUUAACUCCAUAAGGAAAAUCAGGGCAAGACAAUAAAAGAAACAUUAAAUAUUAGUAAAAGUACAC
rnacentral:lncRNA from 1 species